rnacentral:rRNA from 1 species
AUAGCGUAUAUUAAAGUUGUUGCAGUUAAAAAGCUCGUAGUUGAACCUUGGGCCUGGCUGGCCGGUCCGCCUCACCGCGUGCACUGGUCCGGCCGGGCCUUUCCUUCUGGGGAGCUGCAUGCCCUUCACUGGGUGUGUCAGGGAACCAGGACUUUUACUUUGAAAAAAUUAGAGUGUUCAAAGCAGGCCUAUGCUCGAAUACAUUAGCAUGGAAUAAUAGAAUAGGACGUGUGGUUCUAUUUUGUUGGUUUCUAGGACCACCGUAAUGAUUAAUAGGGAUAGUCGGGGGCAUCAGUAUUCAAUUGUCAGAGGUGAAAUUCUUGGAUUAAUUGAAGACUAACUACUG